AGUGAACGCUGGCGGUAGGCCUAACACAUGCAAGUCGAACGGCAGCACAGAGGAGCUUGCUCCUUGGGUGGCGCGUGGCGGACGGGUGAGGAAUACAUCGGAAUCUACUCUGUCGUGGGGGAUAACGUAGGGAAACUUACGCUCAUACCGCAUACGACCUACGGGUGAACGCAGGGGAUCUUCGGACCUUGCGCGAUUGAAUGAGCCGAUGUCGGAUGAGCUAGUUGGCGGGGUAAAGGCCCGCCAAGGCGACGAGCGGAAGCUGGUCUGAGAGGAUGAUAGGUCACACUGGAACUGCGACACGGUCCAGACUCCGACGGGAGGCAGCAGUGGGGAAUAUUGGACAAUGGGCGCAAGCCUGAUCCAGCCAUACCGCGUGGGUGAAGAAGGCCUUCGGGUUGUAAAGCCCUUUUGUUGGGAAAGAAAUCCAUCUGGUUAAUACCCGGGUGGGAUGACGGUACCCAAAGAAUAAGCACCGGCUAACUUCGUGCCAGCCGCCGCCGUAA
rnacentral:rRNA from 1 species